AGUUAGUGGCGGACGGGUGAGUAACGCGUGGGUAACCUGCCUUGUACUGGGGGACAACAGUUGGAAACGACUGCUAAUACCGCAUAAUACGUUUGGGAGGCAUCUCUUAAACGUCAAAGAUUUUAUCGCCUUUAGAUGAGCUCGCGUCUGAUUAGCUAGUUGGCGGGGUAACGGCCCACCAAGGCGACGAUCAGUAGCCGGACUGAGAGGUUGAACGGCCACAUUGGGACUGAGACACGGCCCAGACUCCUACGGGAGGCAGCAUG
rnacentral:rRNA from 1 species